UCGUAAGUCGAGGUACCACUGUACUAAAAUUGGAAUGAUACAGAGAAGAUGAGCAUGGCCCCUACGCAAAUUUGUUCCAUAUUUUUAAUAUUAAAUAAAGAGAAAC